UCGUCGGGCCAGUCGAAUGCUUCGUAGUGGAUGGGGAUUUUCGUCUGGUUGUCCAUGAAUACGGACGCCGAAUGAAAGCGUAGACGUGCGUCGUAGGAUGGAUGGGACACCCGUAAGCCGGUGCAACUUCGCCCGUCGACUUUUGCCUGGCGGAAGAAUUCGACUUCACACUCGGUACCCAAGGCGAUUUCUUCCUUGGCCACUUCCAGUAACCGUUUCACGAGAUUUUCGAAACCGAAUUCCGUGA
rnacentral:misc_RNA from 1 species